rnacentral:rRNA from 1 species
AUGGCUGUCGUCAGCUUCGGUGUCGUGAAGAUUGUUUGGGGUUAAAGUCCCGUAAACGAGGCGCAACCCUUGUCCCCUAGGUNGCCAUCAUUUAGUUGGGAACUUAGGGAGACUGCCGGUGACAAACCGGAGGAAGGUGGGGAUGACGUCAAGUCAUCAUGGCCCUUACGGGUAGGGCUACACACGUGCUACAAUGGCCGGUACAGAGGCCGCAAACCCGGAGGGGGAGCAAAUCUCACAAAACCGGUCGUAGGUGGAGUCUGCAACUCGANUACCAUGAAGGGGAGUUGCUAGUAAUUAAAUCAGAGGUCGCGG